rnacentral:misc_RNA from 1 species
GAUGAAGAACGUAGCGAAAUGCGAUAAGUCAUGUGAAUUGCAGAAUUCAGUGAAUCAUCGAAUCUUUGAACGCACAUUGCGCCCCUUGGUAUUCCGAGGGGCAUGCCUGUUCGAGCGUCAUUAUAACCCCUCAAGCUCAGCUUGGUGUUGGGGCCUGCUGCACUGGCAGCCCUUAAAAUCAGUGGCGGCGCCAUCUGGCUCUAAGCGUAGUAAUUCUUCUCGCUAUGGAGUCCUGGUGGAUGCUUGCCAUCAACCCCCAAUUUUUCUAUGGUUGACCUCGGAUCAGGUAGGGAUACCCGCUGAACUUAAGCAUAUCAAUAAGCGGAGGA